UAAUACGAAGGGUGCAAGCGUUACUCGGAAUUACUGGGCGUAAAGCGUGCGUAGGUGGUGGUUUAAGUCUGCUGUGAAAGCCCUGGGCUCAACCUGGGAAUUGCAGUGGAUACUGGAUCACUAGAGUGUGGUAGAGGGAUGCGGAAUUUCUGGUGUAGCAGUGAAAUGCGUAGAGAUCAGAAGGAACAUCCGUGGCGAAGGCGGCAUCCUGGGCCAACACUGACACUGAGGCACGAAAGCGUGGGGAGCAAACAGG
rnacentral:rRNA from 2 species